CAGGAACCAACCUGGACCUGGAUCUGGAUCCAGCUGUGUGUCCUACAGGAGUGACAGAUCAAAGGGUUUACCUCCUCUCUUCAAAGACAUUAGUUCAGGAGGGGAACAGUUCCAACAGAGAUCUGGAUCUGGAUUCAGCUCUGUGUCCAAAAGGAGUGACAGAUCAAAGAAUUUACCUCCUGACUUCAAAGCCAUCAUUUCAGCAGUGGAACAAGUGGACCAGCAGAGCUCAGAGACUCCCAGUGGUCCGUCUGUCCAGCAGCAUCAAACACA